UACGAAGGGGGCUAGCGUUGUUCGGAUUUACUGGGCGUAAAGCGCACGUAGGCGGACUAUUAAGUCAGGGGUGAAAUCCCGGGGCUCAACCCCGGAACUGCCUUUGAUACUGGUAGUCUUGAGUUCGAGAGAGGUGAGUGGAAUUCCGAGUGUAGAGGUGAAAUUCGUAGAUAUUCGGAGGAACACCGGUGGCGAAGGCGGCCCCCUGGGCUGGUACUGACGCUGAUGCGCGAAAGCGUGGGUAGCAAACGGG
rnacentral:rRNA from 1 species